rnacentral:rRNA from 1 species
CCUACGGGUGGCAGCAGUGGGGAAUCUUCCGCAAUGGGCGAAAGCCUGACGGAGCAACGCCGCGUGAUCGAAUGAAGGCCUCCGGGUUGUAAAGUUCUGCUGCCAGGGACGAAUAAGCAAUGCGAAAAGAUCUGUGUAUGACGGUUCCUGUCUAGAAAGCCCCGGCUAACUACGUGCCAGCAGCCGCGGUAAUACGUAGGGAGAAAGCGUUGUCCGGAAUUACUGGGCGUAAAGGGCGCGUAGGUGGGCGCUUAAGUCAGGUGUGAAAACUCCGGGCUCAACCUGGGGACUGCACUUGAAACUGGGUAUCUUGAGGGCGGGAGAGGAAAGUGGAAUUCCUAGUGUAGCAGUGAAAUGCGUAGAUAUUAGGAGGAACACCAGUGGCGAAGGCGACUUUCUGGACUAUACCUGACGCUGAGGCGCGAAAGCGUGGGUAGCGAACGGGAUUAGAUACCCGUGUAGUC